GCUCCAUGCUCCGAAAGCUCCACUCCCAGUCGAAGCUUUUGCAGAGCUUGAGAUAAGUGUCUGUGUGCAAGGUCGAAUGCGCGAUCGAGCGUCAAAUUUCCGAGUAUUGUUGGCGUUUUCUUAUUUGCGUAGGCUAUGGAAAGCAGUAAUUGAGCUUGAGAUUGAAAGAUGAGAGUGUGUAAGGUGGGUGUACCUAGCAAACGCUUGCGUUGUCAGUGAACUGCAAUACACCCUCUGAAGGAACGGAGCAUUUUGGGGAAAUGACGAGCCUGUGCGUUGUGGUCUGUUUCCUCUUCUCGAAGAUUCUGCAAUUUCAGCUCGAGGAUUGGUAUUGUAGCAUUCUCGCGUCGAGGUUCCGAUCAUAACCACUUGGGUCACGAUUCUCGAGAAUGAAACAAAAUUUCGGGUUGUGGGUCACUCACACGGAGCUGGUCGAGGGGAGAACGAAGUUUAAGCUAGGGUUGUGGAUACGGAAGCAGCGACCCACAUGAUGGAAUCGCUUCUGGGAACGCUCCCGACUCCAACAAAACAUUCCUCACAUUGUGUAAAGUUAACAUCUCAGUGUAAGUGGGCAAUUUCUAUGGUACAAUUCCACGGUGGGGGCAAAUGGUCAUUUCCGAGCUUAGCCAUCACAGCUGGAGUCAAACCGCUAGCAUCCAAAACCAGCACCAAAUAUCAUUUCACGGAGAGCUCUUAAACAACGCAACAGGAGCAAUGGCAGAUGACACACACGAUAUCGUCGAAUUAGUAGGGUUUAGCUUCGAGGAAUCCGUUGACAGUCCAGCCGUGUUCCGAGCAUUGAUGCGGAACCCACUAGAGCUGGGCUACAACAUCGGACUACGGAGGCGAUGCAGUUAGGGUUUUAUACCACCGGCUAUAUAUGAUACACCGGUCUGUUCUUUGUGAGUUUUUUCUUAUAUAUUUUUUUGGUAUGAUCCGCUACCUAUAGCUUUGUUUUGUACUGAAAAAUAUCACAUAAGCUUUCGCUAGAUGUUGUAAUAUCCUGGCUUGCAGGGAAAAGCAUUAGAGUUAAAAGCGAGAGCUGCGAUUGCUUGGUAGAUUGGAGCUCUGGGUCAGGAUGGUUGCAGUAUUGCUGCUGCUGCCACUGCAAACAAACAUCUGAAGACUUGACGAAGACGGGGAUGGUGGAAUUGGUGAUGAAGCUCUUGGAUCGUUCCUCUUUCGGUGAAUUGUGUUGAGACUGUUUGUUUGGAUUUUGUUAGAGCUAUCUUGUAGUAAUUCUUCUCCUGAACUGGUCAUUUCAUGUUACCAAAUAACUGUUUUGAAGUUAGUUUGUAAAAGUGUACCUGAACAUGUCAAGUCUGUUAACAUUUGUAAAUUAGCAUUAAAUGUGUUAGCAAACCAGCAUUGUUUUCUGAUUCUCUUUUUAUUGGUAUAUACAUACAUAGUAGUA